GGAGAGGUGGCAGAGUGGUCGAAUGCGGCGGUCUCGAAAACCGUUAUACUCGCAAGAGUAUCGAGAGUUCGAAUCUCUCCCUCUCCG
rnacentral:tRNA from 1 species